UGAUGACCUUGCCUCUCACAGGUUUGGUGUGAGUUCUGGACGAGUCAAGACAAGUUCCUAAAAUAUGGUUUACACCAGGCAGACAUACAGCUAUCUUCCCUAUUGGAUGUUUACAGCUGAUAACUGUCAAUUUAGGAACUAUGGUACACUUCCUUCAUCAUAAAAGGAGCUCAUUUUUCAGCUGCUGCUGCUCGAAUUGGAGUUCCGGAACACUCAUGCUGCCUGGACCACCCCCACUGGACCACACUGACUCAUGCUGCCUGGACCACCCCCACUAACCCCCCAACUGGACCACACUGACUCAUGCUGCCUGGACCACCCCCACUGGACCACACUGACUCAUGCUGCCUGAGCCACCCUCACUGGACCACAGUGACUCCUGCUGCCUGGACCACCCCCACUGGACCACACUGACUCAUGCUGCCUGGACCACCCCCACUGGACCACACUGACUCAUGCUGCCUGGACCACCCCCACUGGACCACACUGACUCAUGCUGCCUGGACCACCCCCACUAACCCCCCAACUGGACCACACUGACUCAUGCUGCCUGGACCACCCCCACUGGACCAUACUGACUCAUGCUGCCUGGACCACCCCCACUGGACCACUGAUACCUCCUCCUCCUCUACUCUCCCUGUCUCUGACCCAACUGGACCACACUGACUCCUGCUGCCUGGAUCACCCCCACUAACCCCCCAACUGGACCACACUGACUCCUGCUGCCUGGAUCACCCCCACUAACCCCCCAACUGGACCACACUGACUCCUGCUGCCUGGAUCACCCCCACUAACCUCCCAACUGGACCACACUGACUCUGCUGCCUGGAUCACCCCCACUAACCCCCCAACUGGACCACACUGACUCUGCUGCCUGGGCCCCCCUCACUGGACCACACUGACUCCUGCUGCCUGGGCCCCCCUCACUGGACCACACUGACUCCUGAUACCUGGACCACCCCCACUGGACCACACUGACUACUGCUGACUGGAUCACCCCCACUAACCCCCCAACUGGACCACACUGACUCAUGCUGGCUGGACCACCCCCACUAACCCCCCAACUGGACCACACUGACUCCUGCUGCCUGGACCACCCCCACUAACCCCCCAACUGGACCACACAGACUCUGCUGCCUGGGCCACCCUCACUGGACCACACUGACUCCUGCUGCCUGGACCACCCCCACUGGACCACACUGACUCAUGCUGCCUGGACCACCCCUACUAACCCCCCAAAUGGACCACACUGACUCAUGCUGCCUGGACCACCCCCACUGGACCACACUGACUCAUGCUGCCUGGGCCACCCCCACUGGACCACACUGACUCAUGCUGCCUGGACCACCCCCACUGGACCACACUGACUCAUGCUGCCUGGACCACCCCCACUAACCCCCCAACUGGACCACACUGACUCAUGCUGCCUGGACCACCCCCACUGGACCACACUGACUCAUGCUGCCUGGACCACCCCCACUGGACCACACUGACUCCUGCUGCCUGGACCACCCCCACUGGACCACACUGACUCAUGCUGCCUGGACCACCCCCACUAACCCCCCAACUGGACCACACUGACUCAUGCUGCCUGGACCACCCCCACUGGACCACACUGACUCAUGCUGCCUGGACCACCCCCACUGGACCACACUGACUCCUGGUACUCUAACUUCCGCGAUGCAUACAAAUCUCUUCCCCGCCUUCCCUCCCUUCGGCAAAUCUGACCACGACGCCAUCUUGCUCAUCCCGGCUUAUAGGCAGAAUCUCAAACAGGUGGUACCAGUGACGAGAACCAUUCAACGCUGGUCUGACCAAUCGGAAGCCACGCUCCAAGAUUGUUUUGAUGACACGGACUGGAAUAUGUUCCGGUCAGCCUCAGAGAACAACAUUGAUCUAUACGCUGACUCGUGCCACCGUUGCGGCUCCCUAUCAAAGACUGCACCCCCCUCCUCUCCUUCUCAGUGGCUGACGUCCACAGAUGACGCAAUCGCCAUCACACUGCAGACUGCCCUAACCCACUCGGAGUGUGGUGUCAGGAAAACAACCUCUCACUCAACGUCAAAAAAACUAAGGAGAUGAUCGUGGACUUCAGGAAAGAGCAGAGGGAGCACCCCCCUAUCCACAUCGAAGGGAGAAGGUGUAAAGUUUUAAUUUCCUGGGCGUACACAUCACGGACAAACUGAAAUGGUCCAUCCACACAGACAGUGUGGUGAAGAAGGCGCAACAGCGCUUGUCACCCAAAACCCUGACAAACUUUUACAGAUGUACAAUCGAGAGCAUCCUGUCGGAUUGUAUCACAGCCUGGUAUGGCAACUGCUCCGCCCUCAACUGCAAGGCUCUCCAAUGGGUGGUGCGGUCUGAACAACGCAUUACCGGGGGCAAACUACCUGCCCUCCAGGACACCUACAGCAUCCGAUGUCACAGGAAGGCCAAAAAGAUCAAGGACAACAACCACCCGAGCCACUGCCUGUUCCCACCACUAUCAUCCAGAAGGCGAGGUCAAUACAGGUGCAUCAAAGCUGGGACCGAGAGAUUGAGAAACAGCUUCUAUCUCAAGGCCAUCAGACUGCUAAACAGCAGUCACUAACUCAGAGAGGCUGCUGCCUACAGUGAGACCCAAUCGCUGGACACUUUAAUAAAUGGAUCACUAGUCACUUUAAACAAUGCCACUUUAAAUAAUGCCACUUUAUAUCUUACAUUACUCAUAUCACAUGUAUAUACUGUAUUUUAUACCAUCUACUGCACCUUGCCUAUGCCGCUCAACCAUCGCUCAUCCAUAUACUUAUAUCUACAUUCUCAUUCACCCCUUCAUAUUUGUGUGUAUUUGGUGGUUGUUAGGUAAUUGUUAGAUUACUUGUUAGACUUGUGUGUAUUAGGUAGUUGUUGGGAAUUGUUAGAGUACUUGUUAGAUAUUACUGCACUGUUGGAACUAGAAGCACAAGCAUUUCGCUACACUCGCAUUAACAUCUGCAUGUGACCGUGUUCCACUAAUACUCCCACUAACCCCCCACUGGACCACACUGACUCCUGCUGUCCGGAACACCCUCAAUAACCCCCCACUGGACCACACUGACUCCUGCUGCCUGGAACACCCCCACUGGACCACCCCCACUGGACCACACUGACUCCUGCUGCCUUGAACACCCCCACUAACACCCCACUGGACCACACUGACUCCUGCUGCCUGGAACACCCCCACUGGACCACCCCCACGGGACCACACUGACUCCUGCUGCCUGGAACACCCCCACUAACUCCCCACUGGACCACACUGACUCCUGCUGCCUGGAACACCCCCACUAACUCCCCACUGGACCACACUGACUCCUGCUGCCUGGAACACCCCCACUAAAUCCCCACUGGACCACUCUCUGACCACUGAGACCACCGUAGAUCAUCUCUGUGAUAGACAAAAAAACUGUGUUUGAGGGCCGACUUGUGAUUACUAAUAUGAAUAAACACGUUUUGGAGGAGCUACUGUGAAUACAGAAAUUACAAUAAAAAAUAGGAAAUUAAUUAAUUAUGAAGAAAAGAAAG
rnacentral:lncRNA from 1 species